ACUAGGGAGGGGUGAAGAGCUCUGUCGAUUUUUCUCCUCUCGGGAUGAUUCCAUAUCGUGUGAACUACCAGUACUGCGUACGCUGCGUGGGAGAGAAGAUGGCUGCUGGAAACUCCUUGAUAACCUCGACAAACGCUUGAACAACGAGAUGAUUCAAGCCGAAUUUGAAGAAGUUUCUGGCACCAACGGCGAGUGAAAUAGCAAUGUCAGACCUUGAAGUGAAUGCAUGGUAUAUUGUUCGAGGCCUACGAUUGCAGACUCAGCUAACCUGCUUCCCGCGAUUCAAUACAUAUCACAUAGUGCUAGACUUAUCCCGCACACCUCGUAUGGCC
rnacentral:sRNA from 1 species